rnacentral:rRNA from 1 species
CCUACGGGAGGCAGCAGUGAGGAAUAUUGGUCAAUGGGCGGAAGCCUGAACCAGCCAAGUAGCGUGAGGGAUGAAGGCCCUACGGGUCGUAAACCGCUUUUGCACGGGGAUAACACCCUCCACGUGUGGAGGUAUGCAGGUACCGUACGAAUAAGGACCGGCUAAUUCCGUGCCAGCAGCCGCGGUAAUACGGAGGGCCCGAGCGUUAUCCGGUUUCAUUGGGUUUAAGGGGAGCGUAGGCGGGCGUUAAAGUCAGCGGUAAAAUCGUGGGGCUCAACCGCGCCCCGCAGUUGAAACUGGACGCCUUGAGUUCACAAGAGGCAGGCGGAAUUCGUGGUGUAGCGGUGAAAUGCAUAGAUAUCACGAAGAACCCCGAUGGCGAAGGCAGCCUGCCGGGGUGCGACUGACGCUGAGGCUCGAAAGUGUGGGUAGCAAACAGGAUUAGAUACCCUUGUAGUC